rnacentral:rRNA from 1 species
ACACUCCGAAAGGGGUGCUAAUACCGGAUACGAAGUCUGUGCCGCAUGGUACGGAUUUGAAAGAUGGCCUCUAUUUAUAAGCUAUCGCCGGGGGAUGGGCCUGCGUCCGAUUAGCUGGUUGGUGGGGUAACGGCCUACCAAGGCGACGAUCGGUAGCCGGUCUGAGAGGAUGAACGGCCACAUUGGGACUGAGACACGGCCCAGACUCCUACGGGAGGCAGCAGUGGGGAAUCUUCCGCAAUGGGCGCAAGCCUGACGGAGCAACGCCGCGUGAGUGAGGAAGUUCUUCGGAACGUAAAGCUCUGUUGUUCCUGACGAACCUCCCCUCUAUCAACAACGGAGGGGACUGACGGUAGGGAACGAGGAAGCCACGGCUAACUACGUGCCAGCCGCGGC